rnacentral:lncRNA from 10 species
GUAACUCUUCAGGUAGCGGGUAAGCCAACUUCUUUUCUUAUCAAUACGGAGGCUACCUAUUCUGUUUUGUCAACCUAUGGAGGUUCUAGCCAGCCAUCCACUAUCUCAGUAAUUAGGGUAGACGGUAAACCGUCUAACCCUCGCCAGACCCCAAUGCUAAGUUACUGCCUGGACUAUGCAUGCUUUGCCCACUCUUUCCUCAUCAUGCCCUCUUGUCCCACCCCCUCUUGGGACGAAACAUCUUAACCUAACUCAAAACAUCUAUUCCCCUUCCCUUUCUCCAGGUGGCCAGGUUCUACUCAAGGAUCAACACCCUCCUCAAAUUUUCCCCGCUUCCUCACCAUUCUUCAUCUUAACUUAACUGACUUUUCCCUCAUAAACCCCAUAGACACCCUCCUUCCCGACCCAUCCCCCAACCAGUAGGUUUCCCAACUUUUUACUCUCAUAGAAGACCUAGCUUGGCAGGGUGCCCUUUGUGAUUUCGGCAAUGUUGAACUUACCCUCUACACCUUUGUCAUCAUUAUUAUGGUUCACUCUAAUUCCCCUAGUUACUCCUACUAAUCCUAACUUUGUAUGGAGAUUCUAAACCUGGUCUACAGACAACCAGAUACACUCAGUCAUGCAGGGCACUGCAGAUUGUCCCCCCCCCCCCAACCCAGGGUUGUCACUCUGCCCUCUCCCUAAAUAAAAUGUGGACUCAUUAGGCCAGGAUGAAGGACAGAUACAGGGAAGGAGAGGCUGUAACCAGAAGGCAGUAGAAAGCCCAGACCUCCCCAAGGGCCUCUGCGGCACUCAGUCCCUGUUGAGUCAGAGAUAGGGAGAAGCCAGGAGGUAGGGGAGUUGGUGAGGGGAGCAGCCUUGGUGAGCGGGAGGUGCAGAGACGGAGAUGGAGACGGAGAUGGAGAUGGAGACAAAGAGAUACAGACAGAGACAGAGGCAGAGAUGGAGAAAGACAGAGAUGGGGAGAGACAGAGAUGGAGAGAGACAGAGAGACAGGUGGAGAGAGACAAAGACAGAGAUGGGGAGAGACAGAUGAAGAGAGACAGAGUGAGACAGAGAUGGAGAGAGACAGAGGGAGAGACAGAGAUGGAGAAAGACAGAGAGAGAGAUGGGGAGAGACAGAGAUGGAGAGAGACAGAGAGAGAGACAGAGGUGGAGAGAGACAAAGACAGAGAUGGAGAGAGACAGAGAGACAGAGAUGGAGAGAGACAGAGAGAGAGACAGAGGUGGAGAGAGACAAAGACAGAGAUGGAGAGAGACAGAGAGACAGGUGGAGAGAGACAAAGACAGAGAUGGGUAGAGACAGAUGAAGAGAGACAGAGUGAGACAGAGAUGGAGAGAGACAGAGAUGGAGAGAGACAGAGACAGAGGUGGAGAGAGACAAAGACAGAGAUGGGGAGAGACAGAGAUGGAGAGAGACAGAGUGAGACAGAGAUGGAGAGAGAGAGAGAGAGAGAGAUGAAGAGAGAGAGAGAGAUGAAGAGACAGAGAUGAAGAGAGACAGAGUGAGACAGAGAUUCUUUUUUUGCUACUCUACGCCAAACUCUUCAUGGUGUAAUUGCACAUAAGCUCCCAGCAGGACCCAGACGGCCCCUGUUGGAGGCUACUUUUGGUGUAACCAAACUCUAUCUAAAACUCUUAACCAUACCUCCAUCACCCAGUCCCUUUGCGUUCCGGUAUCUUUAGUGCCUAGCUUAACCCUAUAUAGCAAAGGAGAAUUGUCUGAACUAGCUUCCCAGCUCAGCUCCAGCAAUAACAUCCAAAAGCGGGCUGUUUUUCUUCCCUUAAUUAUCGGGGUUUCCCUAGCUUCAACAAUUUAAUGCUCCCUUAACCCCCAGACCACCAGUAUGGCUACUGCCUGUAGUACAGCAGAUGCUUCCAUUCCUAAUUUCUCAUACUAAUCCUCUGCCUUAUGUUAUGUCUUGCUCCCAUUCUAAUAAAAUUUCCGAG